UGGGGAAUAUUGCACAAUGGGGGAAACCCUGAUGCAGCCAUGCCGCGUGUGUGAAGAAGGCCUUCGGGUUGUAAAGCACUUUCAGUAGGGAGGAAAGGGUGAGUCUUAAUACGGCUCAUCUGUGACGUUACCUACAGAAGAAGGACCGGCUAACUCCGUGCCAGCAGCCGCGGUAAUACGGAGGGUCCGAGCGUUAAUCGGAAUUACUGGGCGUAAAGCGUGCGCAGGCGGUUUGUUAAGCGAGAUGUGAAAGCCCUGGGCUCAACCUAGGAAUAGCAUUUCGAACUGGCGAACUAGAGUCUUGUAGAGGGGGGUAGAAUUCCAGGUGUAGCGGUGAAAUGCGUAGAGAUCUGGAGGAAUACCGGUGGCGAAGGCGGCCCCCUGGACAAAGACUGACGCUCAUGCACGAAAGCGUGGGGAGCAAACA
rnacentral:rRNA from 1 species